AUACGUAGGGGGCAAGCGUUAUCCGGAAUUAUUGGGCGUAAAGCGUGCGUAGGCGGCUUUUUAAGCGUGGGGUUUAAGGCUAUGGCUCAACCAUAGUAUGCCCUGCGACCUGGAAGGCUUGAGUGCAGGAGAGGUAAGUGGAAGUCCCAGUGUAGCGGUGAAAUGCGUAGAGAUUGGGAGGAACACCAGUGUCGAAGGCGACUUACUGGACUGUAACUGACGCUGAGGCGCGAAAGUGUGGGGAGCAAACAGGAUUAGAUACCCUGGUAGUCCACACUGUAAACGAUGAAUGCUAGGUGUAGGGGGUAUCGACCCCUUCUGUGCCGCAGUUAACACAAUAAGCAUUCCGCCUGGGGAGUACGGCCGCAAGGUUGAAACUCAAAGGAAUUGGCGGGG
rnacentral:rRNA from 1 species